rnacentral:sRNA from 1 species
AUAUCUCUCCGUACGGGAAGGAUGAGAAGCUUCGACUAAGGUUCGAUUCGAGCGAAAGCGAGAAAGCGUUGCCGCAGGCAACGACCCGAAG